CUCCCACAUCCUCUAGGCGUACGGCGCAAUCUCUAUCGACCCGAGAACCUUCCUCGCCACCGCCCCCUCCCAGCGGCUAGCUAAGCGCCGAUUUUCCCUCGAUCUGGACGCAACCCGCAACUCUGCGACGCCUACAGCGCCCUCUACUGCCUUCUUCUCCGCCUCUGCCCUACCUCUCCCCAUCCAACCCUACUCCCGCCGUGUUGAGCUCGCCCACAGGAUGCCGCCGCAACUAUGCACGAGAUGCUCGAUUUUUCUGGCCUUCAUGUACGAUGGUGCCAAGAUCCCGGGUCUGGUGGAGCUCUCCCAAAUCCCAGGGUGCAGAAACUGAAAUACUAGAGUAGCACAAGAGUAAUAAAGAGGGAGUUUUGUUACACAUAAAGACGAAAAAGUGUAAGUUGAAGGAGAUUUUGCUGCCCUUUUCCAUCUGACCUGCUUCGUCAGUGACCAAGGUAUGGGUGUUGAUGAAUUGUAAGGUCUCCUCUACAUCUCACCAACUCUUGGUUCAUCUUUGUUAGGCAAUGCUUAAUGGUGCAAUUGGCUUUGAUAUCAUGCAUGCCAUAAUUUUGUGUUAAACUGUAUUUUAGUACCCCAAAAUUUACUAAUGAUCUUAAUAGACUGGUUUCGGAAUGUACUACUAUUAGCCAACAAUGCCACUUCUAUUGGUGAGUUGACAUCAAAACUGGAAGCUUCAGGCUUCAGGUUAUUAUAUGGUCCUAUUAAAUGCCUAUCAGUUUUCUUUCAUAGGUACAUCUCCAUCUCUUAGUGUACAUUCCGUAUAAAAUGUAUUGCAAGUGUUGUCAAUUCUUUGUUCAUUUGUUUAAGUAUACUGCCAACCCUUGGCUCUUUUUUUGCCCUUUUGCCUAAAUAUACUAAGUACAAACCAUUUACAUAUGUUGUAGUAAUUGUUCGACGCCCUUUUAGGUAAGAAGAUAGAUGAAGCGAGAGCUCUGGAGCUAAUAAUGUUCAUACAGAUGUUUUGAGAACACAACUAAAAGAAGGUUAAACUAUCUUGACAAAUAUUUCUUUUCUUCAUGGUGGCGUUGUAUACAUAUUCAAGUUUAGUGUGCAUAUUUAGCGAAGUAUUCGGCCAAACACUUCUACUUCGUUCUUGCUUGUCUUGGAACAAUUUAUAAGUGUGUGCCCAAAGCUAUAGUGUGUAUGUUGUACAUAUUGAAUUUUGUCAUUUAUCUUCACAUUUAAGUCCGGUGUGCCUAAUAACACGAAGUGAGCAAUGUUGAAUCCUUGAAUGAGAAGUAACAAAAUAGCUUGUUUUGUUUUCUGUUGCUCCAAGGAGAGGAGCAGUUUUGUUGAAAUAGUUAUUCUAAUCUGGGCAAGUUAACCGUGCAUUGUAUCGGGUUUUUGCCCGGUUAUGAUUAACCGGGCAAAUCUCUUCUUAAUGAAAUACAGGAACCCCCUCUUGAGGCGUUCUAAAAAAAGUUGAUAUGUAUUGGCGAUCGUUGGACAGGCUGGUUAUUUGGGAGACCUGGCUUGAGUGGAACCGCCGCAUAUUUCACAAUUCAGAGUUCGUUGCAGAGCUUGCACGCCUUGCCAUUGAGGAAGCUGAUGUUGAAAGGAGGCUGAUGCCAGGCCUGGCCUUGAGGGGGGCGAGUGGGGCAGCCACCCCGGGCCCGAAACCGAGGGGCCGCAGAUGUGCUCUGUCUCCUGUAAUAGGCCUCGCGAGAAGUGCACGGCACAUCAUUUACGAUGGUAGUCUAGCUUAGUGGACCAAGGGCCAUCGUGUGUCAUCUCUUCUGCUUGUCAUGCAUUUUUUUACAAAAAAAAAAUCCAGUGCCAAUUAUUCAUGUACUACAUGGAACCGUAUCUGACCUUGUAUAUACUCUGUUAUGUAUGCAAGUUCUAUAUCAAGUACUUCAAUUUCA